rnacentral:rRNA from 1 species
GCACCACAAGAACGCGUGGAGCAUGUGGCUUAAUUUGACUCAACGCGGGAAAUCUUACCGGGUCCGGACACACUGAGGAUUGACAGGCAAUAUCUCGACUGUUUAAUAAUAAUAACCGUUUAUUAAUAAACGGUUUAUUAUUAAACAGAUCGAGUGUUAAAUAUGCUAGUCCUUUCAUGAUUAUGUGAUAGGUGGUGCAUGGCCGUUCUUAGUUCGUGGAGUGAUCUGUCUGCUUAAUUGCGUUUCACUAAGGGCCCAUAAAUUCAAGGUAUGUUAGCAAUCGUCGCUCUAUGGACCCCUUAUUUCAGUUUAUUAAUAAACUGUUAUAAGCGCGCGUCUUGUUUAAAGAGUUUAAGACACUGCGCAUGCUGUUGGGCUCUGAAAGCAACGAACGUGACCGCAACGUCUUGUUGCCUUAAUCAAGUCGGCUGUUUAAUCUGUUUAAUUAAACAGACAGACAGCAGUCAUUAUAUGGCUUAUCCGAGGCUAUUUAAAACUAGACGAACCGCUGUUUCUUUUCUUAAACCAGAGGAAGGUUGCGGCAAUAACAGGUCUGUGAUG